rnacentral:lncRNA from 1 species
UCUAAUCAAAUUUUAACCCUCCGAUUUGAAUUGAUCUAAAGCAAUUUUGAUCAAUUAAAUCCUUUGAACUUGUAUAAUCCCACAAUCUAAUUUGAGUGACCAAAAGACCAUUGGUCACUUAAUAAGACUUUUAUUCUAAGCUGGGGAGCUCAAAGCCUCAAGUCAAGAUCUUCAAUUAAGGCAUCCUCAGUCACAUCAAGCAGCAGAUUAUACAAGAUAAAUCAAAGGUCAACACAUGGUAAACAUGAUUCAAAUUGUACAAAACGAGCCUUAAGUAGUAGGGAAUGAUGAGACGCAGUUUCUCCUAUCCUUGUCUAGAGCGACUUUGCGUAUGGGGCGUAGGCCCAAAAUAUUCAAAGUGUAUGCCCUUAUUCAUAGACUUUAGUGUGAUUCAUAUCAAUCGACUGUCAAGUCUCUUAUCAAUUCAUUCUCCAUUCUAAUCAUUUCCAUUUAAUCAUUCAAAUAUUCUUUUGCCUCAUCAAUUACCUUGCUUUCAGGCCUAGUGGACUGAACUACAAAAGCUCUGAUUUCCUUAUUGCACUAUAAGGAUACGUAGGCAGAAGAACCUAAUUUUGUCACGAGCUACCCUAUUUAUCAAUCACUCUUCAUUCAUUCAAUCAAUACCAUUAUUUUGAGAUCAAUCAUACUUCUCCUUGGACUCUUUGUCUAUCCUUUUAGGACGAUCUAGCGACCGUCCACCUCAUCAAUUGAGAGUUGUUUGGGACCAAGCCCAAACACUUUUCAGUCUUUCUUUUUGGCUUUACCCUAUAGUGGCGGUCUUGCUAGCCCACGUACUGGUAAAUGCCUACCUUGCUCUCUAAUUCAGAGUCGAUCCCCUUCUUGGAUCCAAGAUACUAUUCUUAUUUGAUCUCGAACUGUUUGUUCCCCAUCUAGUGAUAUACUAUUCCUUAUACUAUAAAAUACUGCAAUCAUUCCUUGAAGUAGUAUUUGACUUGUGAGUCCUCGUUGCUUAGACAAAUAUCGCCCUCUCCUUGUUUCAUUGUAGUUAACCUCUGAAAUUGGCUUUGUCUUUUGAGUCACCGUUGCUUGGACAAAUACCUUUUUGAUACCAUUAUGUUGGUACAAAUUAUACUUUUCAUCACUGUAUGUCUCUCUCUAUUCUCGUGGUUUCGAACUACGAUUGCUCUGACUUUCUCAUUGCAUAAUGAGAAUACGUAGGCACGAGGAUGCGAAUCCUUGGCGAGCAUAUUCCUAAUUAUUCCUCCUUCCGCCUUAGGGAAUUAUUCAUAUAUUUCACAAUCCAUUACCUACCUUCAAUCAUAAAUCAUUCAUCCAGUGACAUAUUAUUCCUUUGACAUCGAAAUAUACUUUCCUUGGAAUUCCAUAUACAUCCUUUUAGAACGCCUAACAUAAAGUUUGCAUUUCUACCUAGAGUUGUUUAGGACUGUUCCCUAACACUUAAUUACUUCUUUUUUGGCUAAUCACCUUAUAGUGGCGGUCCUACUAGUCCACGUACCGGUUAAAGUUAUUUCCCUCUAUGGUACAAAUCCCAUUUCUCUUAUGGAUUCCAAUACACUUUCACCUUUGGGUUUCAAACAAUGCUUCUUCAGUCACUUAUUUCCAAAUACUAAAUUCUGUGACUUUGGUCACUUCACUCCUUUCAUCUCCAUGAUACACUCAUAUUCUAUCUUCCUUCACCCCAUGUGAUAUACCAGUUAUCUGUGAGCCAAAUACACAACCUCUUUGCACUCCUUCUUGCGUCACCUUGUGAACCAAGAGAAGUUUGGGAUUAUGCCCAAACACCUAUUUCUUCGUCUUUUUGGCUUUACCCUAUAGUGGCGGUCUUACUAGCACACGCACUGGUAACAACCACCUUACUCUUGGGUUCAUCUUUUCACCCUUGUUGGAGUUCAAAUCGCACAAUUCUUUGGCAAAGACCAUACCUCUGAUCAUACUUUUUUUCAUCUCCCACCUCUAGUUCCUUGAACUACGAAGCUCUGAAUUCCUCAUUGCACUAUGAGGAUACGUAGGCAUGAGGGCCCCAAUCCUCACCUAACGUUUUAUCUAUUUGUCUUCCUUUUCCCAUUCUUUUGCGAGUAAUCUUUAGAUAUAACACAUAUUCGAGUGAGAACAAUCAAAACGGUUCCCGUGGAGUACCAUGGAUGUUUGGGGUGCUAAUACCUUCCCCUUGCAUAACCGACUUCCUUACCCAACAUAUCUCUUUCCCCCGGGUUUUAUCGAUGUUUUCCCUUUCCUUCGGGAAUAAAUAAAGUUCUAUGGCGACUCUGUUGUAUGUUCGAGCGUGCAAUACGUUCGGGUAUAUUUCUGCUAGCUUCAUCUGGCGACUCUGCUGGGGAUUCUUCGCUACUUGGAGUACUUCCUAGUCACCAAAAGGAGUCGAGCCUAGCUUAGGUUGUUUUCUCGCUAGUUUUUAGGUGUUUAUCUUUAUGCCUUACUCACUUUACAUUAUUCGCUAUUUACUUUAUUAUUAUAUGUGAUCAGUCACCAUUUACACUGAAUUUUCAUUACUGAUCUGACUCGAAUCAGAGGCAUUUGAAACACUGUGCAAGCAUUUAUGGUACAUUUCGAGUUAGUUUUACUUCCAUCAUUUUAUUUAAGCAUUUUUAAUCAUUGUUAUGUUUUACUUUUUAUUUUAGUGAUUUUAUGCCUGGGAUAGCUGUGUUUUUGUCCAACAGGUCCAGGUAAAAGAACCAGAGAACUCAGAACGAGACAGUGCGAGAUUCCGGCAAGCAAAGGAGCAGAAAACCUCGGUACAGAAGGCCUGACACGGCCACCCGUGUCACCUGAAACGGGCCGUCUCAGGAAAGGGAAGACAUGUGAAGAAAAACAGUAGCCUGACACGGCCACCCGUGUCAGUUGACACGGGUCGUGUCAGGCAGCAUCCUCAACCGUGUCACCCCCUGCCAGGGGCGUGUCAUCCAGAACAAUAGGCUGACACGGCCACCCGUGUCAGCUGACACGGCCACCCGUGUCAGCCCAAGCCCAAAAAUCCAGUUUUUCUCGGGCUUUUUGUUCGUCGGGCUUUUUAGAGAUAUCUUUGGACUUGUCCAACUGCUGCUGGGAAUUUUCACUAUAAAAUAAGGUCUUCUGCCAAAGGAAAAAUCAUCUUGGAAUACGGAAAAACACAGUAUUGUGAAGCAAUCAAGGAUUACAGAGAUCAGGGCAUUCUGAGAGCUGAAGGUGUUCAUGAGCGGGAGCGAUUGAAGAUCAAAGUCAUUUGAUUACUUGUAAUGUAUAAUUUU